AGAGUUUGAUCCUGGCUCAGGAUGAACGCUGGCGGCAUGCCUAAUACAUGCAAGUCGAACGAAACGAAAUGAAAAGCUUGCUUUUGAUUUUGUUUAGUGGCGAACGGGUGAGUAACACGUAGGUAACCUGCCCAUGUACCCGGGAUAACAAAGGGAAACCUUUGCUAAAACCGGAUGAAUUAUAGCGAGGCAUCUCGAAAUAAUAAAAGCACCUAAGGGUGUGGACAUGGAUGGACCUGCGGCGUAUUAGCCAGUUGGCGGGGUAACGGCCCACCAAAGCGAUGACACGUAGCCGGCCUGAGAGGGUAAACGGCCACACUGGGACUGAGACACGGCCCAGACUCCUACGGGAGGCAGCAGUAGGGAAUUUUCGUCAAUGGGGGGAACCCUGAACGAGCAAUGCCGCGUGAGUGAAGAAGGCCUUCGGGUCGUAAAGCUCUGUUGUAAGAGAAAAACGAUGGAUAGAGGGAAUGCUAUGCAAGUGAUGGUAUCUUACGAGAAAGCCACGGCUAACUACGUGCCAGCAGCCGCGGUAAUACGUAGGUGGCGAGCGUUAUCCGGAAUGAUUGGGCGUAAAGGGUGCGCAGGCGGAAUAACAAGUCUGAAGUAAAAGGCAUUGGCUUAACCAAUGUAUGCUAUGGAAACUGUUAAACUAGAGUGCAGGAGAGGGCAGUGGAAUUCCAUGUGUAGCGGUAAAAUGCGUAGAUAUAUGGAGGAACACCCGGUGGCGAAGGCGGCUGCCUGGCCUGUAACUGACGCUGAGGCACGAAAGCGUGGGGAGCAAAUAGGAUUAGAUACCCUAGUAGUCCACGCCGUAAACGAUGAGAACUAAGUGUUGGAGGAAGACUUCAGUGCUGCAGUUAACGCAAUAAGUUCUCCGCCUGGGGAGUAUGCACGCAAGUGUGAAACUCAAAGGAAUUGACGGGGGCCCGCACAAGCGGUGGAGUAUGUGGUUUAAUUCGAAGCAACGCGAAGAACCUUACCAGGUCUUGACAUGGUGUUAAAGGCCCUAGAGAUAGGGAGAUAGCAAUAGCACACACAGGUGGUGCAUGGUUGUCGUCAGCUCGUGUCGUGAGAUGUUGGGUUAAGUCCCGCAACGAGCGCAACCCUUGUCGCAUGUUACCAACAGUAAGAUGGGGACUCAUGCGAGACUGCCGGUGACAAACCGGAGGAAGGCGGGGAUGACGUCAAAUCAUCAUGCCCCUUAUGACCUGGGCUACACACGUACUACAAUGGCGACUACAGAGAGAGGCGAGACUGUGAAGUCAAGCGGAACCCAAAAAAGUCGUCCCAGUUCGGAUUGAAGUCUGCAACUCGACUUCAUGAAGCGGGAAUCGCUAGUAAUCGCGGAUCAGCAUGCCGCGGUGAAUACGUUCUCGGGCCUUGUACACACCGCCCGUCAAACCAUGGGAGUCGGUAAUGCCCGAAGCCGGUGGCACAACCGUUAAGGAGUGAGCCGUCGAAGGCAGGACUGAUGACUGGGGUUAAGUCGUAACAAGGUAACC
rnacentral:rRNA from 1 species